rnacentral:tRNA from 1 species
CCGUAGCUCAGUCGGUCAGAGCAGAGGACUCAUAAUCCUUCGGUCGCUGGUUCAAGUCCAGCCGGGCC